GAUGGUCUUGAUUACUGCAGUGUGC
rnacentral:piRNA from 1 species